rnacentral:rRNA from 1 species
GAUGAACGCUGGCGGCGUGCUUAACACAUGCAAGUCGAACGAAGCACUUAUGAUUGAGAUUUCGGUUGAUUGAUUAAGUGACUUAGUGGCGGACGGGUGAGUAACGCGUGGGUAACCUGCCUUGUACAGGGGGAUAACAGUUAGAAAUGACUGCUAAUACCGCAUAACCCGCUAAGGUCGCAUGACCUAGACGGAAAAGAUUUAUCGGUACAAGAUGGACCCGCGUCUGAUUAGCUAGUUGGUGAGGUAACGGCCUACCAAGGCGACGAUCAGUAGCCGGCCUGAGAGGGUGACCGGCCACAUUGGGACUGAGACACGGCCCAAAACUCCUACGGGGAGGCAGCAGUGGGGAAUAUUGCACAAUGGGGGAAACCCUGAUGCAGCAACGCCGCGUGAGUGAAGAAGUAUUUCGGUAUGUAAAGCUCUAUCAGCAGGGAAGAAAAUGAACGGUACCUGACUAAGAAGCCCCGGCUAACUACGUG